AAUUCUCUCUUCUCUCUCAAUUUUUGCUCAAAAACUCCAAUAUACAUUUUGCAUCAAUUGAAGAAUUUCCGGGGAUCCCGUUGAUAACUCUCUGCAUAAUCAUCAUUGUUAGAGUUUUUGGAGUUUUUGUUUGCAGGUAAAAACGCAAGAAUCAUCAAAAUCGAGCUGUGGCAAGAAUCCUCUUCCUCCAUAACAGUCAACAAUUCUUGAAGAUUGAAGGAUUACCGAGCUGAACCGAACGUCCCACGCAUUUCCU
rnacentral:lncRNA from 1 species